rnacentral:rRNA from 1 species
UGCGUAGGUGGUUUCUUAAGUCAGAGGUGAAAGGCUACGGCUCAACCGUAGUAAGCCUUUGAAACUGGGAAACUUGAGUGCAGGAGAGGAGAGUGGAAUUCCUAGUGUAGCGGUGAAAUGCGUAGAUAUUAGGAGGAACACCAGUGGCGAAGGCGGCUUACUGGACGAUAACUGACGCUGAGGCUCGAAAGCGUGGGGAGGCAAAACA